rnacentral:rRNA from 1 species
GACGAACGCUGGCGGCGUGCUUAACACAUGCAAGUCGAACGGAAAGGCCCUGCUUUUGUGGGGUGCUCGAGUGGCGAAAGGGUGAGUAACACGUGAGUAACCUGCCCUUGACUUUGGGAUAACUUCAGGAAACUGGGGCUAAUACCGGAUAUGAGCUCCUGCUGCAUGGUGGGGGUUGGAAAGUUUCGGCGGUUGGGGAUGGACUCGCGGCUUAUCAGCUUGUUGGUGGGGUAGGGGCUUACCAAGGCUUUGACGGGUAGCCGGCCUGAGAGGGUGACCGGCCACAUUGGGACUGAGAGAGGGCCCAGAAUCCUACGGGAGGCAGCAGUGGGGAAUAUUGCACAAUGGGCGGAAGCCUGAUGCAGCAACGCCGCGUGCGGGAUGACGGCCUUCGGGUUGUAAACCGCUUUCGCCUGUGACGAAGCGUGAGUGACGGUAAUGGGUAAAGAAGCACCGGCUAACUACGUG